rnacentral:rRNA from 1 species
AGAGUUUGAUCCUGGCUCAGGAUGAACGCUGACAGAAUGCUUAACACAUGCAAGUCUAUGAGAAGAUCUACUUCGGUAGAAGGUAUCAUGGCGGACGGGUGAGUAACGCGUAAAGAACUUGCCUCUUAGACUGGGAUAACAGAUGGAAACGUCUGAUAAGACUAGAUAUAAUAGCGACAUGGCAUCAUGUUGUUAUGAAAGGUAACACUAAGAGAGAGCUUUGCGUCCUAUUAGUUAGUUGGUGAGGUAAUGGCUCACCAAGACGAUGAUAGGUAGCCGGCCUGAGAGGGUGAACGGCCACAAGGGGACUGAGAUACGGCCCUUACUCUUACGGGAGGCAGCAGUGGGGAAUAUUGGACAAUGGAGGAAACUCUGAUCCAGCAAUUCUGUGUGCACGAAGAAGGUCUUCGGAUUGUAAAGUGCUUUAAGUUGGGAAGAAAAAAAUGACGGUACCAACAGAAUAAGCGACGGCUAAAUACGUGCCAGCAGCCGCGGUAAUACGUAUGUCGCAAGCGUUAUCCGGAAUUAUUGGGCGUAAAGGGCAUCUAGGCGGUCAAUCAAGUCGAAGGUGAAAACUUGUGGCUCAACCAUAAGCUUGCCUACGAAACUGAUUAACUAGAGUACUGGAGAGGUGGACGGAACUACACGAGUAGAGGUGAAAUUCGUAGAUAUGUGUAGGAAUGCCGAUGAUGAAGAUAGUUCACUGGACAGAAACUGACGCUGAAGUGCGAAAGCUAGGGGAGCAAACAGGAUUAGAUACCCUGGUAGUCCUAGCUGUAAAC